rnacentral:lncRNA from 1 species
CCCGCGCACGCCCCGCCCCGCCCCCUCCCGGGCCGCGCUCCGGAGGGCGGGGCCGCCACGUGCGCCUGCGCGGAGCCCGCAGUCCCCGAGCCGCAGCCCCGAGGCGGGCGGUUGCCUGGGGGCCCUCGCCCGCCCCCUGCCCUGCGCGCCCGUCGCGGCGAGUGGACCCCGGCCCUUCCCUCCCGCCCGAGCUGCGGCCUGACGCCGGGCAGAGGCGGCGCCGCUCCCAAGAUGUCGCAGACGGCCAUGUCCGAGACCUACGGUGGGAUGCUUUCGCCUGGAAGUGGCAGGAGACCCGGCGCUAACUCCUGAAGUCACUCGGGAACGACUUCCCUCCGCUACCUGCGGAAGGCGCUGGUGGGGCCUCCGGGGCUCUCCUGGCAGGAUUCUCCUCCUGCCUCGGUCCCGGCCGCGAGUAGCUGCUGUAAUCCAGGAAGCGUCCGUGUUUCCGUCCUGUAGAGGAGGAGCCCUUCCCCACACCUAGGAAGACAACGGCCGCCCGCGCCAGCUGCUUGGCCCUACUUAGCCCCGCGCCGCCUCUGGAGCCAGGUAACACGGGGU